UACAAAAUGGAAGCAAGAACUAACGUCUGCCAAGUCCUGAUUGAGGAGCCUGAAGAUAUCCACACUGAGCAUUGAUCUGUGCAUCAGUAAGUCUGGAUCUAAAGAGGAAGAUCCACACUGGAGCACAGGUCUUCUACAAUGUAGUCAUCGUGCCCUGUGUGGGGGCCACCAUGGGAUGGGCCCCAAGAACAUGGUGUGAACAACAACAGCAAAAAUGGUCUUGACCUCAGAGAGUUCAGGUCUACUCUGAUGGGAAAGAAAAUAUUACACAGUGCCCACCUUUCCGAUGGAGCUGAAGGAGACGGAGUCAGAGGGACUUAAAACAGUAACAACAACAACAAAGUGACAUGGAAUCCAUGAAAGGGAGUGUGACAGAUAAGCAACUUUUCAACUGUAUUCGCAUUUAUAGAGUGUUUUAGGAAGGUAAAUAUUGAAAGGAACACAACGAAGUAAAUGAAAUUAGAAAUGCACAUUUUAUUUUGUGAAAAUACAAUU
rnacentral:lncRNA from 10 species